GGGUUUAAUACCGUAUACGCCCUUCGGGGGAAAGAAUUUCGGUGAGGGAUCGGCCCGCGUUAGAUUAGUUAGUUGGUGGGGUAAUGGCCUACCAAGACUACGAUCUAUAGCUGGUUUGAGAGGAUGAUCAGCAACACUGGGACUGAGACACGGCCCAGACUCCUACGGGAGGCAGCAGUGGGGAAUCUUAGACAAUGGGGGCAACCCUGAUCUAGCGAUGCCGCGUGAGUGAUGAAGGCCUUAGGGUCGUAAAGCUCUUUCGCCUGUGAUGAUAAUGACAGUAGCAGGUAAAGAAACCCCGGCUAACUCCGUGCCAGCAGCCGCGGUAAUACGGAGGGGGUUAGCGUUGUUCGGAAUUACUGGGCGUAAAGCGCACGUAGGCGGAUUAGUCAGUCAGAGGUGAAAUCCCAGGGCUCAACCCUGGAACUGCCUUUGAUACUGCUAGUCUUGAGUUCGAGAGAGGUAAGUGGAAUUCCGAGUGUAGAGGUGAAAUUCGUAGAUAUUCGGAGGAACACCAGUGGCGAAGGCGGCUUACUGGCUCGAUACUGACGCUGAGGUGCGAAAGUGUGGGGAGCAAACAGGAUUAGAUACCCUGGUAGUCCACACCGUAAACGAUGAAUGCCAGUCGUCGGGUAGCAUGCUAUUCGGUGACACACCUAACGGAUUAAGCAUUCCGCCUGGUGAGUACGGUCGCAAGAUUAAAACUC
rnacentral:rRNA from 1 species